GAUGAACGCUAGCGGCAGGCCUAAUACAUGCAAGACGAACGGUAAGUUGAGUAGCAAUACUUAGCCAAGAGUGUCGUACGGGUGCGUAACACGUAUGCAACCUACCCUAUACAGGAGGAUAGCCUAGGGAAACCUGGAUUAACCCUUCAUAGUAUUAUUGGAUGGCAUCAUUUGAUAAUUAAAACUGAGGUGGUAUAGGAUGGGCAUGCGUCUGAUUAGUUAGUUGGCGGGGUAAUGGCCCACCAAGACGAUGAUCAGUAGGGGUUCUGAGAGGAAGAUCCCCCACACUGGCACUGAGAUACGGGCCAGACUCCUACGGGAGGCAGCAGUAGGGAAUAUUGGUCAAUGGAUGCAAGUCUGAACCAGCCAUGCCGCGUGCAGGAAGAAGGCCCUUUCUGGGGUUGUAAAACUGCUUUUUGCCAGGGGAUAAAAUUUCCAUGCGUGGAAAACUGAAGGUACCUGGUGAAUAAGCCACGGGCUAAACUACGUGCCAGCAGCCGCGGUAAU
rnacentral:rRNA from 1 species